rnacentral:rRNA from 1 species
UUCCGGUUGAUCCUGCCAGACCUGACUGCUAUCGGAUUGAUACUAAGCCAUGCGAGUCAUUGUAGCAAUACAAGGCAGACGGCUCAGUAACGCGUAGUCAACCUACCCUAUGGACGGGAAUAACCUCGGGAAACUGAGUAUAAUGCCCGAUAGAACAUUAUUCCUGGAAUGGUUUAUGUUCCAAAUGAUUUAUCGCCGUAGGAUGGGACUGCGGCCUAUCAGUUUGUUGGUGAGGUAAUGGCCCACCAAGACUAUUACAGGUACGGGCUCUGAGAGGAGUGGCCCGGAGAUGGGUACUGAGACACGGACCCAGGCCCUAUGGGGCGCAGCAGGCGAGAAAACUUUGCAAUGUGCGAAAGCACGACAAGGUUAAUCCGAGUGGUUUCUGCUAAAGGAACCUUUUGUUAGUCCUAGAAACACUAACGAAUAAGGGGUGGGCAAGUUCUGGUGUCAGCCGCCGCGGUAAAACCAGCACCUCAAGUGGUCAGGAUGAUUAUUGGGCCUAAAGCAUCCGUAGCCGGCUCUGUAAGUUUUCGGUUAAAUCUGUACGCUCAACGUACAGGCUGCCGGGAAUACUGCAGAGCUAGGGAGUGGGAGAGGUAGACGGUACUCGGGAGGAAGUGGUAAAAUGCUUUGAUCUCUCGAUGACCACCUGUGGCGAAGGCGGUCUACCAGAACACGUCCGACGGUGAGGGAUGAAAGCUGGGGGAGCAAACCGGAUUAGAUACCCGGGUAGUCCCAGCUGUAAACUAUGCAAACUCAGUGAUGCAUUGGCUUGUGGCCAAUGCAGUGUUGCAGGGAAGCCGUUAAGUUUGCCGCCUGGGAAGUACGUACGCAAGUAUGAAACUUAAAGGAAUUGGCGGGGGAGCACCACAAGGGGUGAAGCCUGCGGUUCAAUUGGAGUCAACGCCGGGA